rnacentral:rRNA from 1 species
AGCAGCCGCGGUAAUUCCAGCUCCAAUAGCGUAUAUUAAAGUUGUUGCAGUUAAAAAGCUCGUAGUUGAAUUUCGGGGUUCUACCGUUGGUCGGGCUUUGUCUGUACUGAUGUGUAGAAUUUCUACCUUCUGGGGAACCAUCAUGUUAUUAAUUUAGCGUGGUGGGAAACCAGGACCUUUACCUUGAAAAAAUUAGAGUGUUCAAAGCAGGCUUAUGUCUGAAUACAUUAGCAUGGAAUAAUAGAAUAGGACGGUGGUCCUGUUUUGUUGGUUUCUGA